rnacentral:rRNA from 1 species
UACAGAGGGGGCAAGCGUUGUUCGGAAUUACUGGGCGUAAAGGGGGCGUAGGCGGCAGAUCAAGUCAGCUGUGAAAUCUCCGAGCUUAACUCGGAACGGUCAGCUGAUACUGUUUUGCUAGAGUACAGAAGGGGCAAUCGGAAUUCUUGGUGUAGCGGUGAAAUGCGUAGAUAUCAAGAGGAACACCUGAGGUGAAGACGGGUUGCUGGGCUGAUACUGACGCUGAGGCGCGAAAGCUAGGGUAGCAAACGGG